rnacentral:lncRNA from 1 species
AUAUCUAAACAUCAGCUUCAUGACAAAAGUGCUUAUAGACAAAAUAAGCUGCAAUCUGCAAGGCCUCUUAGUAAUGUUGAAGAACCUGAAUCAUCAAUUCGAGCAAAAGAAAGAAAUGGCGUCAGAUUGCUGCCUGACCUUAAUAAUGUGCCUGAUGGAAAGAUAUCUGUGCAUAAACAGUAAGUACAUAGGUUUUACGAUGUAACAUUUUGCUGCAUUGAACACUUUGCAUGUUCCAUAUUCAUUAGAUGUG